UACGUAGGGUGCAAGCGUUGUCCGGAAUUAUUGGGCGUAAAGAGCUCGUAGGCGGUCUGUCGCGUCGGCUGUGAAAACCCGAGGCUCAACCUCGGGCCUGCAGUCGAUACGGGCAAACUAGAGUACUGCAGGGGAGACUGGAAUUCCUGGUGUAGCGGUGAAAUGCGCAGAUAUCAGGAGGAACACCGGUGGCGAAGGCGGGUCUCUGGGCAACAACUGACGCUGGAGGAGCGAAAGCGGUGGGGAGCGAACAGG
rnacentral:rRNA from 1 species